CCCACAGUGGCACAAACAGUUAAGCACUCAGCUACUAACUGAAAGGUUGGUGGUUCAAAUCCACUCAGAGGCA
rnacentral:tRNA from 1 species